AUUGAACGCUGGCGGCAUGCCUUACACAUGCAAGUCGGACGGCAGCGCGGGAGCAAUCCUGGCGGCGAGUGGCGAACGGGUGAGUAAUACAUCGGAACAUGUCCAGUAGUGGGGGAUAGCCCGGCGAAAGCCGGAUUAAUACCGCAUACGAUCUAUGGAUGAAAGCGGGGGAUCGCAAGACCUCGCGCUAUUGGGGUGGCCGAUGGCGGAUUAGCUAGUUGGUGGGGUAAAGGCCUACCAAGGCGACGAUCCGUAGCUGGUCUGAGAGGACGACCAGCCACACUGGGACUGAGACACGGCCCAGACUCCUACGGGAGGCAGCAGUGGGGAAUUUUGGACAAUGGGGGCAACCCUGAUCCAGCAAUGCCGCGUGUGUGAAGAAGGCCUUCGGGUUGUAAAGCACUUUUGUCCGGGAAGAAAUCCCCUGCCCUAAUACGGCGGGGGGAUGACGUACCGGAAGAUAGCCC
rnacentral:rRNA from 1 species